rnacentral:rRNA from 1 species
UGGGAUUAGCUAGUAGGUGGGGUAACGGCUCACCUAGGCGACGAUCCCUAGCUGGUCUGAGAGGAUGACCAGCCACACUGGAACUGAGACACGGUCCAGACUCCUACGGGAGGCAGCAGUGGGGAAUAUUGCACAAUGGGCGCAAGCCUGAUGCAGCCAUGCCGCGUGUAUGAAGAAGGCCUUCGGGUUGUAAAGUACUUUCAGCGGGGAGGAAGGGAGUAAAGUUAAUACCUUUGCUCAUUGACGUUACCCGCAGAAGAAGCACCGGCUAACUCCGUGCCAGCAGCCGCGGUAAUACGGAGGGUGCAAGCGUUAAUCGGAAUUACUGGGCGUAAAGCGCACGCAGGCGGUUUGUUAAGUCAGAUGUGAAAUCCCCGGGCUCAACCUGGGAACUGCAUCUGAUACUGGCAAGCUUGAGUCUCGUAGAGGGGGGUAGAAUUCCAGGUGUAGCGGUGAAAUGCGUAGAGAUCUGGAGGAAUACCGGUGGCGAAGGCGGCCCCCUGGACGAAGACUGAC